rnacentral:rRNA from 1 species
CCGAACUAGCUUUUUGGGGUAUCGACCCUCUGAGAGGCGAAGCUAACGCGUUAAGUUCGGCGCCUGGGUAGUACGAGCGCAAGCUUAAAACUCAAAGGAAUAGACGGGGACUCGCACAAGCGGUGGAUCAUGUGGCUUAAUUCGAUACUAAGCGAAGAACCUUACCUGGGCUAGACACUUAUAUGACAAUUCUCUGAAAGGAGAACUUUCUUCGGACAUAUAAGCAGGUGAUGCAUGGCCGUCGUCAGUUCGUGGCUUGAGCUGUUCCCUUAAGUGGGGAAACGAACGCGGCCCUCGUCGUGUGUUAUACGUGUCACACGAGACUGCUCUCUCACGAGAGAGGAAGGUGGGGAUGACGCCAGGUCAGCAUGUCCCUUGAUGCCCAGGGCUGCACACGUGAUACAAUGGUUGUAACAACGGGACGCGAUGUCGUAAGGCGGAGCAAAUCCUUAUAAAUACAGCCCCAGUUCGGAUAGAGGUCUGCAACUCGACCUCUUGAAGUCGGAAUCGCUAGUAAUCGCAGGUCAGCAAUACUGCGAUGAAUACGUUCUCGAGUCUUGUACUCACCGCCCGUCAAGUCAGGGAAGCCGGGAGUACCCG